UCAAUCUCUCUUUUGUUUCGCUUCGUUUCUUAUUCCUCUUUGAUCGAAUUGUCAUCGUAUUCAGCGUGCGAUGUGGCUGCGCGAUGUGAUCUAACCAUGUCUUAUGGUCGUUUUCCAUGAACUCUGGGCUCAUAUUAAUAUCGCAGCUGUAUUCUUAGUGUUCUUAGCACCGUGUGUUGCUGCGCGAUUUAGACGCUGCAGUUUGUUGCGUCUAAGCCUUGGACAAUCUGAUGGUAUAUUUGUUCAUUGUAUCGCUGCGCGGUGUGCCUGGGAUUGAGGUGGCAUUUCUACGACGAUUAUGGGAGAGGAGGUUUAGGGUUUGAAAUAUUUGAAUCGUUUUGGCAGGGGUAGAUGCGACUCUUUUCAUGUCUUACAUUCCGUUCGUGCGGGCGACAACUGUUUCUGGGAUGUUCUCUCCAGCUUCUGCAGAAUGCGGUGAUGCAUUGAGUACUUGGUUUGUUGGAUGCCCACUAAACCACUCCAAGUUUCUGCACUAUGGCUGCUCUUGGUUGCAACAUCAUGAUGGAAGGACAUGCGUUACCGCUCAUAGAUGAAAGUAGUGUAACAAUAAAUUCAUUAGGACUAUGGUAAACUCUGAAGUCGGCAUGAUGGAGCAACUUACUGCUUUGGACAAUCAGCAGGCGUUCUGGAAGGUGUACCAUCGAAAUCCCCUCACCUGUGCUGUAGAUUUUGUUAAACCUCAGCUAAUGAGGUGUGUUAUUUCCCAUCCUAGUGAAAGAGAAUCAUUAGGUCUUCGCAUUACACGCUGUCGAAAAGGUGUAGUACUUUUGAACAAAGAGCAUGCCACGUCCGUCAUGAAAAAGACACGUACAAGCUUAGCAUCCACAAGCUUUCAGCAGGUACAGUCAAUUACGCAGUUCCUCUGAACCUAAUCCGGUCGCAAUUCGUUAGCCUUCUAAGAAGUCUGGACCUAUUCCAGGCACACGAUCUCAUGCAUAUCCAAGCACCAUCCUACAAAAAGAGGGCGAGCAACACCAGCAAUAUCUUGAGGACUUGGCUUUGUACAUUUUUAAAGCGUAUCAAUAUCCGUCCUACGUGAAAAGUUUUUGGCUGAGAAGGUUGUUGCUGCAGCUCUUUCAUUAUCAAUUCACUUUCGACAGUGCAACUCCCUUGCAAGUCAAAUAUCUGCGUCUAAUAUUAAGGGGGAUUUUGAUGAUGAAAUCUUGGGUCUCAAGUUACGGAUGGAAGAGUAGGUAUUGGCCGUGGUUGAGCCUUUCUUACCUUUGCUUCGAACUUUUCGCGGCAGGAUGGGAACAAUAUGUUGGCUCUCAAGUUGGAUCCGCGUUUUAAGGGGUUAGGUCUUCUGUGCGACUACGUGGGAGCAGAGAGAGUCGUGGAUAUCGUGUCCGGGUAUGAUAAUCUGGUCCUGUUACCCAUAUUGAUGCAGUGUUACAAGCGUUUACAUCCGACAGCUCAAAGUCAGGAACUUGUAAUCCCCGUUUCCCAUGUUCUGUUUUUGGAGCUCAAGCAUUAGCAGAGGGAGUGAUCUGAGAACAAUUGAAAUCCGAGUUGUCUUUGUUCAGAAGGCUGCAAGUUGAAAUUGAAAGAGUAUUUAACACAGCAGGUCAGAUUCUGUCUCAACAACGACGCACACUUGCUUUGGAGAAUUUAGAUAAGUUGGUAUUCAUUUCCAAAAACUGGCAACACGAGCGAACUAAGGCUGGUUAAUCGGAGGUUGAAUCUAUCGAGAAUUUUCUGGAAAUUGAAGACAGUAUCAUUGAUGACAAUAUCCAUCUUAUAGAGGAAGCUGACUUGUUUGAGAAAUAAAUCUCUCAUGAUUAAGGUUUGAGUUCUGGUUCAUUUUGUUGAUACUGCAGAACAUGUAUAUGUGACUGAGCUAGAUUACUGUGUUUGAUGAACUUUACUUCUCUGUUCUGGUACAACUGAAUGCUUCUGUUCUUACGUGGCUGUACAAUUAAAUUGUUGAAAAUAAUUUUAUUACAAUUGUUCUGAA